UACGGGGGGGGCAAGCGUUGUUCGGAAUUACUGGGCGUAAAGGGCGCGUAGGCGGCCUGCUAAGUCAGAUGUGAAAGCCCCGGGCUCAACCUGGGAACUGCAUUUGAAACUGGCGGGCUUGAGUGUGGCAGAGGGGGGUGGAAUUCCGCGUGUAGCAGUGAAAUGCGUAGAGAUGCGGAGGAACACCGAUGGCGAAGGCAGCCCCCUGGGCCAACACUGACGCUCAGGCACGAAAGCGUGGGGAGCAAACAGG
rnacentral:rRNA from 1 species